rnacentral:rRNA from 2 species
CGUACCGUCAGUCUAUCAUGCAGUCGACGACUCUGGUAUUGAUUGGUGCUUGCAUCAUGAUUUACAUUUGAGUGAGUGGCGAACUGGUGAGUAACACGUGGGAAACCUGCCCAGAAGCGGGGGAUAACACCUGGAAACAGAUGCUAAUACCGCAUAACAACUUGGACCGCAUGGUCCGAGUUUGAAAGAUGGCUUCGGCUAUCACUUUUGGAUGGUCCCGCGGCGUAUUAGCUAGAUGGUGGGGUAACGGCUCACCAUGGCAAUGAUACGUAGCCGACCUGAGAGGGUAAUCGGCCACAUUGGGACUGAGACACGGCCCAAACUCCUACGGGAGGCAGCAGUAGGGAAUCUUCCACAAUGGACGAAAGUCUGAUGGAGCAACGCCGCGUGAGUGAAGAAGGGUUUCGGCUCGUAAAACUCUGUUGUUAAAGAAGAACAUAUCUGAGAGUAACUGUUCAGGUAUUGACGGUAUUUAACCAGAAAGCCACGGCUAACUACGUGCCAGCAGCCGCGGUAAUACGUAGGUGGCAAGCGUUGUCCGGAUUUAUUGGGCGUAAAGCGAGCGCAGGCGGUUUUUUAAGUCUGAUGUGAAAGCCUUCGGCUCAACCGAAGAAGUGCAUCGGAAACUGGGAAACUUGAGUGCAGGAGAGGACAGUGACUCCAUGUGUAGCGUGAAUGCGUAGAUAUAUGGAAGAACACCAGUGGCGAAGCGCUGUCUGGGUCUGUAAACUGACGCUGAGGCUCGUAUAGUAUGGGGUUAAGCAAACAGGGAUUAGAUACCCUGGUAGUCCAUACCGUAAACGAUGAAUGCUAAGUGUUGGAGGGUUUCCGCCCUUUCAGUGCUGCAGCUAACGCAUUAAGCAUUCCGCCUGGGGAGUACGGCCGCAAGGCUGAAACUCAAAGGAAUUGACGGGGGCCCGCACAAGCGGUGGAGCAUGUGGUUUAAUUCGAAGCUACGCGAAGAACCUUACCAGGUCUUGACAUACUAUGCAAAUCUAAGAGAUUAGACGUUCCCUUCGGGGACAUGGAUACAGGUGGUGCAUGGUUGUCGUCAGCUCGUGUCGUGAGAUGUUGGGUUAAGUCCCGCAACGAGCGCAACCCUUAUUAUCAGUUGCCAGCAUUAAGUUGGGCACUCUGGUGAGACUGCCGGUGACAAACCGGAGGAAGGUGGGGAUGACGUCAAAUCAUCAUGCCCCUUAUGACCUGGGCUACACACGUGCUACAAUGGAUGGUACAACGAGUUGCGAACUCGCGAGAGUAAGCUAAUCUCUUAAAGCCAUUCUCAGUUCGGAUUGUAGGCUGCAACUCGCCUACAUGAAGUCGGAAUCGCUAGUAAUCGCGGAUCAGCAUGCCGCGGUGAAUACGUUCCCGGGCCUUGUACACACCGCCCGUCACACCAUGAGAGUUUGUAACACCCAAAGUCGGUGGGGUAACCUUUUAGGAACCAGCCGCCUAAGGUGGGACAGAUGAUAGGGUGAAGUCGAAUCUAGUAGGAUGC